GGAUAUGAUUUCACGUCGUACUCGCCUGGCCUUUCUAAAUGUCCAGGCAGCAGAGGAAGCCCUACCCAGGAUUGUUGAACUGAUGGGCAGGGAACUGAAUUGGGAUGAUUAUAAGAAGCAGGAACAACUUGAAACAGCCAGGAAGUUUCUAUAUUAUGAAAUGGGCUAUAAAUCUCGAUCAGAACAGUUAACAGAUCGCUCUGAAAUUAGCCUACUGCCUUCAGACAUUGACAGGUACUUAUAAUAAGUGUCUAUCUCUCUUUUUUUUUGGCCUAUGUAAGUAUAUUUUUCCAUUAUUUAAUCUUGUGUUCCAGGUAUAAGAAGAGAUUUCAUAAGUUUGAUGCAGACCAGAAAGGCUUUAUUACCAUUGUUGAUGUUCAGCGUGUAUUAGAGAGUAUCAAUGUCCAAAUGGAUGAAAAUACACUCCAUGAAAUUCUAAAUGAAGUUGAUUUGAAUAAAAAUGGACAGGUUGAACUCAAUGAAUUUUUGCAGCUGAUGAGUGCUAUUCAAAAAGGAAGGGUAUCUGGAAGCCGACUUGCUAUACUAAUGAAAACUGCAGAAGAGAACCUCGACAGAAGAGUUCCAAUUCCAGUGGACCGUAGUUGUGGAGGAUUGUGAGUCUGGGCAGUAAAUCCACAGCCAACAAACAUAGAAACGACAAAUCACCAUGUAACAACCAGAGAUGACUGAAACCACUCUAAAAUAAUGA
rnacentral:sRNA from 1 species